rnacentral:lncRNA from 1 species
CUGGGAUGUGACACUGGUGACCAGGGUGUGAACGGGGAAGGACACAUUCCAAGGUCACUGGCGCAGCCGGAUUCCCUCUUCACCCUUACAGAACAGUGGGAUCAGGGGCUGGAAUGUGCACUCGUACCUCUCUGUUCGCAGCAUACCUCUGUGGUUCGCCGGCUGCACACCUAAGGGCUGUUGUAAAAGCCCGGGUCAAUCACUGCAGGAGCCGCCACGUCGGCGCCGCAAUCCUUGUGUUUCUGUGAAGAGGGUGAUUUCAACUGGAUGCAUGCAGAGAAGACCACUGAGCAAUGAAAAAGAGCUGGCAGCAACCCAGAGUCUCUACUUAAUUCAAAAUCUAAAAGAUUCAAUUGUGUGGGAAUGAAAAUGAAGACAAAUGUUAGUGUCUCCUGGUUUAUUUCUAAAUUGGAUGAAAAGGAAAAGGUAAUAUUAGCAAAGGCAUUGAAUGAAAAGAAGUCGGGAAGGCUGUAAACAAGGAAGAUCACUAACAACCUGGUUCGGAAACUGCAUUGGCGGCAACAAAGAAGAGAGGGAGGUCAUGUGCCCUGGGUCGCUUCCCUUCCUUUCUCAGCUGGUACAUAAGGGGC